ensembl:lncRNA
GAACCGCCCAGAGAGCUACUUGCGCUUGGCGCUUCUCACUUCAACAAUCAAGCGCCAUUUGAUUGGGGCUCGACGAGUCGUUUGUUUAAUUAGAGUGGUCCUCCGAGAAGACUGCCUAUAUUGGCGACGCCUCUCGCACCAAAUGCAUGGCUGAUUCUCAGCGUUUUAUCCCUGUUCCAAGGCAUCGUAUCAGAUUACUCAUUGUCUCCAUGCUAAAUGUCAGCGAUGGCGUUCGUGUCGUCUCGGGCAACUAGAAAACCGACACAAUCUGUUCAGCGGAGACAAGCAGAACACAGCUGCCGCCCGGAUCCACGAUCCAACCAAACAGAAGCAUCGCUAAAAGAAAAAAAGAUAGCGGAGAGUGAUCAUUAGAAACCAGGGUGAUUAGGAGUGGAGCACCCAUAGUGGCUGGUACCUGGCUUUUCCCGAAAAGGCUGUGAUGGCUCCGCGUGGUCUGAUGAUGAGAUCAGCGCGCAGGGCUGACAGACUGGGGGGUAUGGAGGUUCUCCAAGAGCGCCGCACACCAGGAGAGGCAGUCGACUAUAUCAUCAUAACCCUUCGGCAACGGCACAGUGAUGGCGUCAGAUCCCACUGAAGCGCUCGAGGGACCGCGGUCGAAGCAAGACAAUAACAACAGGCCGGCAAGAACAGCGAGGCCUCCGCUGAUGCGUGAAGACCUCGGAGAGCGGUGGGGGCAUCGUCACCUUGCCCAGAGACCCCCAGUACAAUCUUCCACUGCCCGGGCCGUGUUUACCACAACCGCUACCACCACCACCACCACUGCUGCCAAUGCACAGUUCAUAAAUAGAGCGGCACGUGAUAUACCAUGAGACCAGCUUGUUUUAUUAAAAUGGAAAUCAUAAUCACCACGCUUGCAUCCCCCUCUGCCCUUCACCCUCUCUUAAAGGCCAGGCUAAUUACCCGCACGCUGCUGAUAGCCAUACGAUUUAUCUGUAUUAUCUUUAGUUUAUUGUAAUCUGUGAAGGAACCUUGUUAUUAUCACUAGUUUGAUUAUUUUUUAAUAGUGUAGCCUGUACGGUUAAUAAUGUUUUCCUGAACUGUCAAUAAUCGUAUUAUUGUUAUGCCGGUACAUUCCGCUGUUCAUUUCUACCACACAUAAUCAUGUAGGCUGUAUUUAUGUAUACCAUUUUUCUCUUAAAUAACUUUUAAAAUCAUAUUGCUUUGAUUUGCUUCUGAGCGACACAAGUACCUUCGACAUUAACCUUUAUUUAUUUAGGGUAGAAUAAAUUGGAAAUCUCUGCCAACUCGGGUCAUCAUCG